AUGUAUGUUAUUGAUUGAAUUUUUCUAGGAAAAGAAAACUAUUCAUCUGGAAGAGACAACACGAGCUGUGCCUUUUAAAAGAAGAACUCACGCUGGGGCCGGACCACCCCUCCAACGCGUCUCCGAACGGUUGUUGAAUUGUGUGUGGAUGAAAAUGAACUUCCCAAGAAAGCUCCACGAGUUGUGAGGCCAUCAGUUACCACUGAAUUAUCACAGUUAUCGUCCGACAAGUUGAAAUUCUGUUAAUUAAAAGUAAAUGGAAGGGUUUUAACCAUCCCAUCACGGCAAAAAACACUUGCAGGAUGCAUAAUAGGAAGGGUAUGAUAAUUGUAUCUUUUAGGAUUGGUUUAAAAAAUUCCCCACAAUCAUCCCCAUCCAUUUGAUAUUUUAUCUUCUUUAGAAGAAAUAUCUUUAUAUGUGUAUAUGAUACUUUUAUGUAUAUGUAUAUAUAUUUAAACCUUGUUUAAUAAUAUGUAACUCAAAGUAUCAUUUGUACCAAUUUGUUUUUUGACGAAUCAAAGUAAAGAUUUUUUUUACGAUGCACUGCUAUAACAUGCAAUAUUGUGCCUCUGACUCAGGGCCGUAGCAGGGGGUAGGGCAUUGGGGGCACGUGCCCCUCCCCCCAAUAUUUUAAAAAAUAUAUAAAAAAAUGACCAGUAGGGGCGUGACUGUGCCCCCAAAUACUUGUGACUGGGACUUGUGACUGUGACUGAUAUUAAAGUCCCACUACCCCGAAUGUUCUACAUGGGGCGCGCGAAGACUUACGGGCAAAAUAUGUACGGGUUAAGUUUCUGAUUGCAGCUCAUACCACAGGGAAAAGCCUUCUACUAAGAUUUUGCCGCUUUUGUGGCGAGUAAGAAGAGAUUACAAUUUUUCGCGAGAUAGAAACCAAUUGUGAAGCUUUAGAUUCGAAAUAUCACCCCACAAAUACACUUUCUGCGAAUGUGUAGUCUUGCUACAAAGAGUAGUAAAAGUAUAUAUUUUUAAAACAUUUUUGCAAAUGAGCAACUGUGUAUUUAUAAUUUACACACCCUGAGUACUAAAAGUGUAUUUCUCGCGAUGCAU